UACGGGGGUGGCGAGCGUUACUCGGAUUUAUUGGGUGUAAAGGACAGGUAGGCGGCUACGCAAGUUGAGGGUGAAAUCCUUUGGCUCAACCAAAGAACUGCCUUCAAAACUGCAUGGCUUGAGGCUGGGAGAGGAGAACGGAAUUCCCGGUGUAAGGGUGAAAUCUGUAGAUAUCGGGAGGAACACCUGUGGCGAAAGCGGUUCUCUGGUCCAGCUCUGACGCUGAACUGUGAAAGCUAGGGGAGCAAACAGG
rnacentral:rRNA from 1 species